UACGAAGGGGCUAGCGUUGUUCGGAAUCACGUGGGCGUAAAGCGCACGUAGGCGGACUUCUAAGUCCAGGGGUGAAAAGGCCCAGGGCUCAACCCUGGAAGUGCAUUCGAUACUGAGAGUCGUCGAGUCCGGGAGAGGUGAGUGGAACUGCGAGUGUAGAGGUGAAAUUCGUAGAUAUUCGGAGGAACACCAGUGGCGAAGGCGGCUCACUGGUCCAUUACUGACGCUGAGGUGCGAAAGCGUGGGGAGCAAACAGG
rnacentral:rRNA from 1 species